CAGUACGCUACAAGUCAGACAGACGGAGCACAGUACGCUACAAGUCAAACAGACGGAGCACAGUACGCUACAAGUCAAACAGACAGAUAGCUAGACUAGUUUUAGCCAGCUAAGCGCAUGGCGCGCAUGUAUUAUGCACGACCAAAAUAAAGUCGCGAGACUAAGGGUUGAGUAACGUUGAUGAGUGGUUACAAGAUUUGGGUAAUCAUCAUCCUCUAGUUGUUGGUUGAGUAUCAUCAGCUCCGUCGUCAUCACCUUCGUCAGGUCUCCCCCUGAGGAGAGCGACAACUCUGCACGUGGGUCAAAGUCCUACAUCUAUGCUACACAGAGCAUGGAGCCUGUUGGACAGGCUGUCACCAUCAAUUUGGUUGUUCAUCAGACAUCAACAGUACUUGAAUUAGGGCCCAGAAUUUUCCCUCCCGACCCCACCACCAUAACAGCCCUCGCUCAAAUUGUAGUAUAUUUCUUAUUUUGAGUUAGGCACAUUAAAGAAAGGUGUCAAGAUAAUUUCUCUCCAAUUCUUCAAACUCUGCUUUGCUCUCCGUCUCUACUAAAGUUAACAUGUUACACAAGUCUGUUCGUUUUUGUUGUCUCAUCAGGGUUUUGUUGUCAGUUGGAAAUUAAAUUCAUGUUUGUGGUG